rnacentral:rRNA from 1 species
GGUGAGUAACACGUGAGUAACCUGCCCUUGACUCUGGGAUAACCUCCGGAAACGGAAGCUAAUACCGGAUACGACGUACGGAGGCAUCUCCUGUACGUGGAAAGAACUUCGGUCAAGGAUGGACUCGCGGCCUAUCAGGUAGUUGGUGAGGUAACGGCCCACCAAGCCUACGACGGGUAGCCGGCCUGAGAGGGUGACCGGCCACACUGGGACUGAGACACGGCCCAGACUCCUACGGGAGGCAGCAGUGGGGAAUAUUGCACAAUGGGCGCAAGCCUGAUGCAGCAACGCCGCGUGAGGGAUGACGGCCUUCGGGUUGUAAACCUCUUUUAGUAGGGAAGAAGCGAAAGUGACGGUACCUGCAGAAAAAGCACCGGCUAACUACGUGCCAGCAGCCGCGGUAAUACGUAGGGUGCGAGCGUUGUCCGGAAUUAUUGGGCGUAAAGAGCUCGUAGGCGGUCUGUCGCGUCUGCUGUGAAAACCCGAGGCUCAACCUCGGGCCUGCAGUGGGUACGGGCAGACUAGAGUGCGGUAGGGGAGAAUGGAAUUCCUGGUGUAGCGGUGG